rnacentral:rRNA from 1 species
UGCAGUCGAACGAGUUCUGAUUAUUGAAAGGUGCUUGCAUCUUGAUUUAAUUUUGAACGAGUGGCGGACGGGUGAGUAACACGUGGGUAACCUGCCCUUAAGUGGGGGAUAACAUUUGGAAACAGAUGCUAAUACCGCAUAAAUCCAAGAACCGCAUGGUUCUUGGCUGAAAGAUGGCGUAAGCUAUCGCUUUUGGAUGGACCCGCGGCGUAUUAGCUAGUUGGUGAGGUAACGGCUCACCAAGGCAAUGAUACGUAGCCGAACUGAGAGGUUGAUCGGCCACAUUGGGACUGAGACACGGCCCAAACUCCUACGGGAGGCAGCAGUAGGGAAUCUUCCACAAUGGACGCAAGUCUGAUGGAGCAACGCCGCGUGAGUGAAGAAGGCUUUCGGGUCGUAAAACUCUGUUGUUGGAGAAGAAUGGUCGGCAGAGUAACUGUUGUCGGCGUGACGGUAUCCAACCAGAAAGCCACGGCUAACUACGUGCCAGCAGCCGCGGUAAUACGUAGGUGGCAAGCGUUAUCCGGAUUUAUUGGGCGUAAAGCGAGCGCAGGCGGUUUUUUAAGUCUGAUGUGAAAGCCCUCGGCUUAACCGAGGAAGUGCAUCGGAAACUGGGRAAACUUGAGUGCAGAAGAGGACAGUGGAACUCCAUGUGUAGCGGUGAAAUGCGUAGAUAUAUGGAAGAACACCAGUGGCGAAGGCGGCUGUCUGGUCUGUAACUGACGCUGAGGCUCGAAAGCAUGGGUAGCGAACAGGAUUAGAUACCCUGGUAGUCCAUGCCGUAAACGAUGAAUGCUAGGUGUUGGAGGGUUUCCGCCCUUCAGUGCCGCAGCUAACGCAUUAAGCAUUCCGCCUGGGGAGUACGACCGCAAGGUUGAAACUCAAAGGAAUUGACGGGGGCCCGCACAAGCGGUGGAGCAUGUGGUUUAAUUCGAAGCAACGCGAAGAACCUUACCAGGUCUUGACAUCUUUUGAUCACCUGAGAGAUCAGGUUUCCCCUUCGGGGGCAAAAUGACAGGUGGUGCAUGGUUGUCGUCAGCUCGUGUCGUGAGAUGUUGGGUUAAGUCCCGCAACGAGCGCAACCCUUAUGACUAGUUGCCAGCAUUUAGUUGGGCACUCUAGUAAGACUGCCGGUGACAAACCGGAGGAAGGUGGGGAUGACGUCAAAUCAUCAUGCCCCUUAUGACCUGGGCUACACACGUGCUACAAUGGAUGGUACAACGAGUUGCGAGACCGCGAGGUCAAGCUAAUCUCUUAAAGCCAUUCUCAGUUCGGACUGUAGGCUGCAACUCGCCUACACGAAGUCGGAAUCGCUAGUAAUCGCGGAUCAGCACGCCGCGGUGAAUACGUUCCCGGGCCUUGUACACACCGCCCGUCACACCAUGAGAGUUUGUAACACCCGAAGCCGGUGGCGUAACCCUUUUAGGGAGCGAGCCGUCUAA